rnacentral:rRNA from 1 species
CCUACGGGGGGCAGCAGUGAGGAAUAUUGGUCAAUGGGCGAGAGCCUGAACCAGCCAAGUCGCGUGAAGGAUGACGGCCCUACGGGUUGUAAACUUCUUUUGUCAGGGAGCAAUUGAGUCCACGUGUGGGCUUAGCGAGAGUACCUGAAGAAAAAGCAUCGGCUAACUCCGUGCCAGCAGCCGCGGUAAUACGGAGGGUGCGAGCGUUAUCCGGAUUUAUUGGGCUUAAAGGGUGCGUAGGCGGAAUAUCAAGUCAGCGGUAAAAAUUCGGGGCUCAACCCCGUCGUGCCGUUGAAACUGAUGUU